rnacentral:piRNA from 1 species
UGAAAACCUCAGGGGCGGUUAACAGGUC